rnacentral:rRNA from 1 species
CUGGCAGGCUAGAGUCUUGUAGAGGGGGGUAGAAUUUCAGGUGUAGCGGUGAAAUGCGUAGAGAUCUGAAGGAAUACCAGUGGCGAAGGCGGCCCCCUGGACAAAGACUGACGCUCAGAUGCGAAAGCGUGGGUAGCAAACAGGAUUAGAUACCCUGGUAGUCCACGCCGUAAACGCUGUCUACUUGGAGGUUGAGGUUUAGACUUUGGCUUUCGGCGCUAACGCAUUAAGUAGACCGCCUGGGGGGUACGGCCGCAAGGUUAAAACUCAAAUGAAUUGACGGGGGCCCGCACAAGCGGUGGAGCAUGUGGUUUAAUUCGAUGCAACGCGAAGAACCUUACCUACUCUUGACAUCCAGAGAACUUUCCAGAGAUGGAUUGGUGCCUUCGGGAGCUCUGAGACAGGUGCUGCAUGGCUGUCGUCAGCUCGUGUUGUGAAAUGUUGGGUUAAGUCCCGCAACGAGCGCAACCCUUAUCCUUGUUUGCCAGCACGUAAUGGUGGGAACUCCAGGGAGACUGCCGGUGAUAAACCGGAGGAAGGUGGGGACGACGUCAAGUCAUCAUGGCCCUUACGAGUAGGGCUACACACGUGCUACAAUGGCAGAUACAGAGGGCAGCGAAGCUGCGAAGUGGAGCGAAUCCCUUAAAGUCUGUCGUAGUCCGGAUUGGAGUCUGCAACUCGACUCCAUGAAGUCGGAAUCGCUAGUAAUCGUGGAUCAGAAUGCCACGGUGAAUACGUUCCCGGGCCUUGCACACACCGCCCGU